rnacentral:rRNA from 1 species
CCGCGCGCGCGGCGGGCUACGGGAGGCAGCAGUGGGGAAUAUUGCACAAUGGGCGCAAGCCUGAUGCAGCCAUGCCGCGUGUAUGAAGAAGGCCUUCGGGUUGUAAAGUACUUUCAGCGGGGAGGAAGGCGUUGAGGUUAAUAACCUCAGCGAUUGACGUUACCCGCAGAAGAAGCACCGGCUAACUCCGUGCCAGCAGCCGCGGUAAUA